UGGGGAAUUUUGGACAAUGGGGGCAACCCUGAUCCAGCCAUGCCGCGUGCGGGAAGAAGGCCUUCGGGUUGUAAACCGCUUUUGUCGGGGAAGAAACGGUCUGCGCUAAUACCGCGGGCUAAUGACGGUACCCGAAGAAUAAGCACCGGCUAACUACGUGCCAGCAGCCGCGGUAAUACGUAGGGUGCAAGCGUUAAUCGGAAUUACUGGGCGUAAAGCGUGCGCAGGCGGCUUUGCAAGACAGAUGUGAAAUCCCCGGGCUUAACCUGGGAACUGCAUUUGUGACUGCAUGGCUGGAGUGCGGCAGAGGGGGAUGGAAUUCCGCGUGUAGCAGUGAAAUGCGUAGAUAUGCGGAGGAACACCGAUGGCGAAGGCAAUCCCCUGGGCCUGCACUGACGCUCAUGCACGAAAGCGUGGGGAGCAAACA
rnacentral:rRNA from 1 species